rnacentral:rRNA from 1 species
GACGAACGCUGGCGGCGUGCUUAACACAUGCAAGUCGAGCGGAGCGGCGAACGGGUGAGUAACGCGUGAGUAACUGCCCCCCUCUCUGGGAUAACAGUUGGAAACGGCUGCUAAUACCGGAUAGUGGGGGAUGACUCGCGUCCUAUCAGCGUGUUGGUGGGGUAGUGGCCUACCAAGGCGACGACGGGUAGCCGGCCUGGGAGGGCGACCGGCCACAUUGGGCGGGGAGACGGGCCGAAGUGCUACGUGGGGCAUGAGUGGGGAAUAUUGCAAAAUGGGGGAAACCCGGAUGCAGCAACGCGCGUGCGGGAUGACGGCCUUCGGGUUGGAAACCGCUUUCAGCCAUGACGCGGUAGUGGCAGAAGAAGCACCGGCUAACUACGUGCCAGCAGCCGCGGUAAUUC